GCAAAUACCGGCGAAAGAGUGGAUGAUGCCCGCAAAGGCUCCGGGCUUUAUUUCUGGCGAUCCAAAAAUCCUGUUGCAUCUCUCUCUAAUCCGACAGAGACAUCGCGCCCUCGCCGAUCUCUCCCCGCUAUUGCUACUCGGCCAUUGCCACGCACGUCGGUUCGUGCAACUAGAAUACGCCACGACAAAUACGUU
rnacentral:ribozyme from 1 species